GUGCUCAUUGAGCAGCACGUAUAGUAAAACUGUAACAAUACAGGUAAGAUUAACAUGAGCCCUGUGCAAAGAUGAGGCACAAAUUCCGAGUGUUCCAUAUGUAA